GAUGAACGCUGGCGGCGUGCCUAAUAGAUGCAAGUCGAGCGAACAGACGAGGAGCUUGCUCCUCUGACGUUAGCGGCGGACGGGUGAGUAACACGUGGAUAACCUACCUAUAAGACUGGGAUAACUUCGGGAAACCGGAGCUAAUACCGGAUAAUAUAUUGAACCGCAUGGUUCAAUAGUGAAAGACGGUUUUGCUGUCACUUAUAGAUGGAUCCGCGCCGCAUUAGCUAGUUGGUAAGGUAACGGCUUACCAAGGCAACGAUGCGUAGCCGACCUGAGAGGGUGAUCGGCCACACUGGAACUGAGACACGGUCCAGACUCCUACGGGAGGCAGCAGUAGGGAAUCUUCCGCAAUGGGCGAAAGCCUGACGGAGCAACGCCGCGUGAGUGAUGAAGGUCUGCGGAUCGUAAAACUCUGUUAUUAGGGAAGAACAAAUGUGUAAGUAACUAUGCACGUCUUGACGGUACCUAAUCAGAAAGCCACGGCUAACUACGU
rnacentral:rRNA from 1 species